AAGGAGAGACUAACCGAGAACAGAGCACCGGGAAGUAAAGCCGGUCAGCGGAAAUCAUGGAAGGUGAGAAACCCACAACAGUAAUGUGCUCACUGAUAGCGAUGGACCAUUCCGACCUCUUUUACAGAAUCUGCUCCAUCUGCGAGAAAACUCUCCCCUGCGAUCCCUCCUCUCUUUGCAAAUCCUGUGACUGCCCUCCCAAACGCCUGUUUCGUCUCCUCGUAUCAAUAGCAACAGAUACCAAAGUGCUUAAUGUGAUCUGCUUUGACAGGGCAGCUAGGGUUCUGUUUGGCUGCUCUGCCGACGAUUUCUUUGAUUUCGCCAAGCUUCAUCCUUUUGCUGCUGCAACUGCUGGUAAAAUCCUGGAGGGAGAGAUGUUUGGCAUUACACUGUCCAAACCGAAAAAUGGCAACGCUCGACAUCUUCGAGUGGCAUCAAUUGUCCCUUUGAGGUCUGAUUUCCAGCCUGCUAUUAAGUCCUUGAGAGAAUUAUAUGGAGGGUAAGAGUUAGUUUUUGAUUGCUCUGUUUGGAAGCUCAGAAAGUAUUAUGCAAUUGUUAUUUACAUAUUCCCUGUAUAAUCAGCAAAUUGAUUUUGAAGCAUCCCUCAAUGUUUUCUCUGAGGUUUUCAAUAUGACAAAACUGAAUAUAAAAUUGUUGUUAGGAAAGGAAUCA